GGGCGGAUGGUUUAGUGGUAUAAUACUCCCUUAGCAGGUUUCCGUCUACGGAUUCGUGAUUGGGAGUGGUCCGGGGUUCGAUUCCCCGUUCGUCCA
rnacentral:tRNA from 1 species